AAGCAACGUAUUCAGACUUGAUUAUGAACGUUUGUGCUUCUAACUCAAGUUCCAAAGACAAAAAAAAAAAACAUGGCGGAGCAAAUAAAUGGCAAGAAAGAUUUAAUAUUUUCUCCUUAAUGAGUGUGCUUUAGCUAGAUACAUGCUGCUAGUCCUGUGUUGCCAGAUUUCUUGGGGGUCAGUUGAGCUAUUUUUGAUUUGAUUUGGCAAGUAAAAAUAUAUUUUUUAUUUAUUUUUACAUAUACUGUUUUGGCAUUUUCUUCCGUAAAAAUGCCAAAACAAACUGUGGCCGACAUGGUAAAACACCAACUGCCAUCGAAGGCUAUCUCGACUGGGCUGAAAUUUGUUUUUUCCUUUACAAAUACAGCCGAGAAAAAAGCCAAAGUUACAUGUAGAUUUGGCCCUGGAUUUCACCUAAUUAUACAAAUAAAACAGCAAAUCCUGGGGUUAAAUAUAUCCCUUCCAGCUUAAAAAAGAAUUUGUCUACUUUUCAUGUUGGACUGGCAGAUUCAAGGCUCCUUAUUAAUGUCAGCCCAAACCUGGCAACGCCGCCAGUCCCUGGGCCAGCUCUGCCAUCGCUGUCCUCCAGCCCUUACAUUAUUCAAGUUCCCAUUUCUUCCCAAUAACCCCUCUGAUCAAAGCACACAGGUGCAAUUGCAGGUGUUGGAGUGCCCAUACAGCGCCUGUCAAGGUGAAAUAAUGUCCACAACAAAGGCCCGAGGAGGCUCUCGCUGCCUUUCAUCCGGCUGAGGUGAGAGAUAAAGAUGGAGAACAUGCGAGAGAGAGAGCAUCAUUACAAACUGCACUCUUUAUCUGAUCACUAAUGGCUUUGGAGAGGAGUUUCAAAACCAUCAACGCCGGUGUUUUCACCGAGCUUCCGCCCCCUUUUACAGCCGGCCAUUAUGUAAACUGGAGGAUAAAAUAUGCGUUGCCAGUCUCCUUCAUCCCGUAUGCACACAGUCAAGAUGACCUUUUUUCUUUUUUUUUCCUGCUGAUGGAUGCCAAAGUUACAGAGGUCUCUUGCGGGUUUUAACAUCUGAUAUGACUGCCAGAUUUUCAUAUUGCUGGGGAAAGCACGUCAGGAAAAGCUGUCAAAAUGACCCUCGUAUCUGCAGAACGCCGUUCAGGACGUCAGGCGGUGGAUGCGUUUCACACUGCUCCUUCUUUUCUUUGUGUUAAAGGUCAGCGUUUCAAAUGUCGUCCUGAAGGCCACUCCGUCAGCAGCCAGUAUUCCUUUUUCCUUAGACCGAUGGCGUCGUGCGCCCAGUGGAGGAUUCCUGCUAGCGUGGCAUCAUGGGUAGCGCCACGUGGAGAAACGACCUUUCCAGCCAUGUGUCAACCUGCCCGUGAUGCUCCAGGUGGCCUUUCUCAGCAUCACGCGGAUGAAUGUCUGUGUUAUGAUGCUCCAAACGCAGCAACUCAGCAUAUAGGAAGGACAACACACACACACACACACACACACACACACACACACACACACACACACACACAAAGUGUCUUUCUUGUUUUAUUCAGCAGCAGUUGGCAAGUGUUUGGUUUCAAAGAAAGCAUUCAGACAGUUGGUAUUGAAGCACGAGACAAAAGCGCGAAGAGUCAAAAUAUCAACCUUUUAAUGUUGGACAAAUAAACACGUCUGCUGUUCAAGGCAAAAAGUUUAUUUUCGUCAAAUGUUUUAUUAAUGGCUCAUGAAAAAUUCAGAUUUUUUUUGCUUUCCAAAGUGUCAAAGUUUCUUUUUUUUUACCGUUUACCUCAGGGGGUUUAGAUUUCACUGUGAGCAUCUCGUGCUCUGAAUCAAAGAAGCUUUUCCAGGGUUUAUGUCUUUGUUUUUUAUUAUUAUGACGCAGCCCAGUCUGCAGGAAACAAAUCAAGCCGUUUAACAAGUCACGUCUGUGUCGAAGGCGAAUGUGUCAAGUGUGAAACCAAAGAAUAUUUUAAAGUAAACUCGGGACAAGUUCCAGCCACGUUUAUUAAGACAAGAAAGAGUUUUAUCUAAAAGGAAGUUGGGACAUCGCGAGCCAUGAAAAGCGGUUGUUUUUAACGAGUCCUCGGGACAUUUGGAGUCAUGUUUGUGGCAACCAAAACAAGUUUUCCUAAACAAGUGUGGUUUUGUGCCUAAACCUAACCAGAGCAGAAGUACAGCAUUGUCAGAACAUACAGUAGAAUUCAAUUAAAGCUUCAACAUAAAGAAAUGUAUAGUUUCAAUAUUGGCAGGAAAGUGCACUACCAACAUUUAUUCUGGUGAUUGGGUUGUUUGACCACGAACAACAGGACGGCCUGGGGACAUUCAUCAGGUUAAAUUCAUGAAAAUUAAUCAGCUGAAUGAAUGAAUAAUAAUUAUAAUAAUGAUUAUACUUGAGGAACAGAACAUCAUAAAUAAAGACGGUUUUCUGAUGUGUUUCAGGUCACAACAUCUGUCCGUCAGGCUUUCCUUGGAACAAGAACAUUUCAAGCAAGGCGUAAUUAUCCAAUCUUGGAGCACCGAACAUGAGCUCUCAAAAACAGGUGCGCUCCUUAAAAACUGAUUUCCCAGGUGAGGGUGAUCCACUCUGACACAAAAUCAAAUCAACGAGAUGUUAAUUGGAUGGAUAACCUACCCCAAACAAGGUUAAAGCGGCCACGUGUUGAUUUUUAUAGCCAGCGACUGUCUGACAGGUGGACGGCAAAUGUUAAAACUUUUGAUAUUCCGUCCACAACCGUCUUGUUCAAGCCUUGGAGGAGGGAGGGGUUUCCAGGUGUACGAGGUCCAAACCCCUCCAGGACAGCGAACGCACCUUCUGCUGGAGUCAAAUGAAACCUAACAGGGAUAAUUGCCUUGUUAGAGCCUCCCAUGAGGUGAGCUCCCCCAGUGAGCUGCCAUGAGAAUCAUCAUGCAUAUAUGGAUGAACCCCGCUCCUCCUCCUCCUCCUCCUCCUCCUCCUCCUCCUCCUCCUCAGCUAGUAACCACCUGGCAACGCAUGUAUACCAUAGUUAGGUUGGGCGGCUGUGGGUGGCGACUGCUGACGGAUGAAUGGGAGGACAUUACAUUACAUUUUGAGAGGUUGACGGAGUGUUUUUUUCUUUUUUUUCAGAGUGAGUGCAGCUGACAGAUGGAUGAUUAGUGUACGUGUCCGUCCGAUCCAUCUGCACCGUCGACUCACACUCUGUUUACAUAUUGCAGGAUGGCAAGUAGAGGUGAAACUCCAGCCACUUCAGCUUCUACACACCCAGGAAGACUAUUUUUGAUUCCGCCUGAUGACGCUCGUGUGUGUGUGUGUCGCUUUCCCUGGUGGAAAGCUCAGAAUGAGACUCAGCUCAGGGCUGAACAUGCACCUCUGCCUCUCCCCUGCUGACUCGGUAGUGCUGAUGAUGAGGAGGAGGAGGAGGAGGAGGGGAUGCAUAUGUUGCGCCAAGCUGGAGUUGUUGAUUUUGCAUCCCAUGGCAGGUCUCCCCCCCCCCCACCUCAGAUCACGCCACGCAACAACAAUGACAACAACAAAACACAACAACAACUUCUCCGGGGGAGGCUGGCGCUGUCAUGGUAACGGCGUUGAGUGACCUUCAGAGGCUGCUGAUGCUCCCCAGAGCCGCCUCCUAUUCCGCUUGGCAUGGACUUUGUGAGUCAUCAGCAACAUUCAAAUUCACAUGCUCCUCUCUCCCUCUGGAGGUUUGGGGGCUUAUUAAAAUUGAUGAGCAAAUGGGGGGGGAGAAAAAAAUGAUGGGAACGGCAGCAACUGAGCCGCGUUUUCAUCUGAUGGCCAAUAACGAAUCUAUCAUCAACAAGAUGAGAUUAUGAUAAUGGCCUCCGUGGAGGAUCAAAGGGUGUCCAGCCAUUAAUCCAUCAGUAUUUACAUACAGCAGCGUGAGCGUGAGGGAGUUACGUAACCGUCACUCGAGUUGCCGGAUGAUAAAACCACUUUAAACCAGGAGGCUCUCACACUCACCUCCAGGAGAGCCCCGCCAUCCAGCCUGCUAAAAAAAACUAAACAAAAAACAACACCAUCAGAGCCGUGAUAGGCCGGCACGGUGACGGGAUCCAGGCUGGGAACAGUGCCAUCCACUGGGGGAGAACAGGAAGAGAUCCCUCCACCUCCACCUCCAUCUCCACCUCCAUCAGAACAUAAAGCUUCCAGCAGCCAUUAAGGGUCGACCAAAAAUAUGGAUGGAUGGCGUCUCGAGAUGAAGACGAAAGCGGCUCUGGUAAAUUGCUCACAGUUUGCCUCUGGGCUGAGAGGGAGGCUCAUGGACUGGGGACUGAUUAAGCCCGGGGAAUAAUAUUCUUCCCACAUCCAGAAGCCAAUAUGUCUUUAUUUCAGUGCAAAGCUCUUAAGGGAUUAAUAUUACCAGAAACUUCAGUUCCAAUUCAAUGCCAAGAAGUAACAGGCCCAGUUCUACCAAUAUGAACAGAGAUCCAUCCACCCGCCCCUGAUCCAGGUGCUGUAUCGUAGGCACCUGGACUUGUUUCUGUUUCCUGAAGACGUCUCACCUCUCAUCCAAGAGGAACCCUGUGUGUUUGAGUUUCAGAGUCAUUGGGACCACUUGGGGGUCGCUGGUCCGACCACAUGGAAACGCUUCUGUGUGUAAGCGCACAUUUCGCAUUGUUUUGGCUGAUCGUCCACAUGGAUCCUGUAAAUGCACUUUUUUGAAACCUGGUCUCAGGGUGGAAAAAUCCGAAAGCACCUUCACUGCUUUAUGGCUCAUGUACAGGAAAGUAAUCUGGCUGUUCAGAGCAAAUAAACACAAAUGUCUUUUGUUACCUCCAAGUGCAGAUAAAAGUCAAGCCCCACCCGGCACACUCUGUUGCUUUUCAGCCUGCAGAGCUUCCUCAUGAAUUUUGAAGCAAAUCAAAGUGUGUUUCUGUCUAAUUACAUUCAGAAUGUGUUUUUACCACACCAGAUCAGAUUUCUGGAUGCGAGAUGACAGACUGUUGUGUAUUCUGCUCCAGCAAAACCUCAAAAAAAACAUGCAACAACCAAACUUUACCACCAAGAAGUAGAUCAACAGGUGAGACCAGGUAAUAACAUUAAGGACAGAAGGUGGAGCAAAGUUAAAGAAGUCAGACCACAGGAAGAAUCAGCCAACAGGCCAAAGGACGGAGCAGAAUAUGGGUUUGUAGUGCCAUCUCAAAUAGAUGUCUUUUUUUAGGAUAAUGGGUUACGAGGGGUGGAGGGGGUAGACAGGAGUCAUUUUGGUGAGAGCGAUUUAGGUGACAGCUGCUGCAGUGAUAAAAUGGGCCAGAUGGAACGGAUACAAAGUGUUCAGACGUGUUUUACAGCAGCUGAUAAUGUAAUAGCUGCUGGAUAAAGUAAUAAUCACCUGUCAAAAUGUGAUAAAACUUCUCCUAAAGGGUUGAAAAUGGGGAGUAGAGUUCAACCAUUAAUACCUGGCUGUCAGUAUCAGGAUAGACUUAUCAUUUUACACUAAUUGGCAUCACUGCAGCCCAGUUGCAUAGAAGCAAAAGGAGCAUUUAAGGAGACCUGUGGACAUUUUUCAUGGAAAGUCUCCAGCUGUGAUCGUGGCAACCAACACAGGUGUUUUAAACCAAACCGUGAAGUUUUCCUAACCCUAACCAAGAGUGCAUACCAGUGACAGUUGUACCAGCUGUACAGUUGCAGGCAUUUUGGCAACAUUGUAGUUUGGGUAAAAAAACAAACAAACAACAAAAACGGAUGAAUAAUAAAAAGCCAGCUUUAAAAAAUGACAGCUGAAGAUCCAAGAUCCAAAAAGGCAGGCAACAAAAAAGCAACUAGGAGAAGCCAAACAAUGGAGGACAAACGGACACCGACUCUGACGGACAAAUGAAAAACAAAAAAAGAAAAGAAACAAAGGCAGGAUGUGUAAAGUAAAACACGACACACGAGGAUAAAUUUCCAACAUAAAACACCUGUGCUUAUUCUACAUCACCUGACUUCCUCCUUUGGCUGGCAAUUUGAAGACGAAGAUUUUAUAUUUUAUAGACUGCAGUUAAUCGUUAAUGAUGAUAAUCGUUUGUUGAAGCUCUCAUCCGAGUACAAAUAACUCCGUUCAUCCUCCUGGAACAGCUGUCAUGUGGCGAGGCCAGAGAAGAAAAACAAAACAAAACACAACUUUUCCAUUACUCCGAGCCAAACCAUUUAAAUAAUGCCAUUUGGUAAAUGUCAUGGCUUUGGAUGGCUAUUAGUUGAUUCCACUCAGUCUGUGAACUGUAUUAGAAUCCCAUUGACUUUUACGGGGCGUUUCAACAAAGGGCGGCCCGGCAUGUGGUCCAGGUGUUGAGGGAAGUGCAUGUGAGGCGUCUGAAGUCUCGUCACUGCGGCUCCAGCUCCAACAUGGCGCCGUCCUAUUCUUAAGAAAGACGGCUGGCCGAGCUUCAAAACGCACUUUCAUGGCGGGACGACGGAGACGUCUCAGAGACAGCGAGAGAUCUGUUGCUUCUGCUCAAAAGCGCAGACAGUGUGACAUUAGGUCGUCACGCAAUCAUUUCCCAUCACGAAGGACACUUUAAUUUGAAUAUUUGGGCUUUAAAGUGUCGACUUGGUUAUCACGUCGUGGAGAUAAUGAGGUUUAAAAGGUGCACGGGUAGGCUGGAGUCAUUUUCAGGCCGCCGGCGGAGAAAACAGGGCCGCUGUGAUAAAGUGGAGCAGAAGGAAUGGGCCGAGGAAAUUGCACAAAUAUGUCCGGCGUCGUUCCAUCCGUGCGUUUCUCGCUCUCGCUCUGGCAUCCUGACCCCUGACACCCUCUGCCUGGAUGAGUGCCUCCCUGUGCCGCGGACCCUGGAGAUCGGGGAGAUUGGCCGGAGAACGGAGAGCAUGAAACCAGCUGAUAAUGACAUAUGGCUGGGUUUUUCUACAAGGACGAGAUAAAGCCUGCCUCUAAUCUCUGCUCCCUCCCCCCCCGCGCCCCGAAAUAUCAGCCUCUCAGAAUCUGGUGCUCUUUGUGGGGGCAGAUGUGUUUAUCAGGAGCCGUACACGCAAACAAAUAUUAAAUAUUUGGUGGGGAAACAAGUCAAACAUGGCUGAGUUUGUACAAUAAAAGUUCAAUCAACAGCACGACCAGAUCUCUCAAAGAUAGACGAGUGUUUGUUCAAGACAAAAUAAGCAAAUGAUGAAAUCCUGCUGCUGCCAUUACAUGUCAGGUAUGUUGCAUUUGGCAGCAUCUUGAUUUAAUUUAGACCGCUUAAUUUUCUUUGAACUAGCGAUGGGAACUGAUAAGAUCCUUUUGAUACUAGUGCCAUAUUCUAGAUUCUUCUAGUCCGAUUCCUGGUAAAUUUUCAGUGUUGUUGUUCCUGAAUCUUGCUUCUUGAAAUGAGGCCCAAUUCUUCCCCUCCGUCACAACUCCUUCUUGUCACAAGUUCCCAGCAGUGACGCAUGAUCUUGACGUCUGUCAGAAAAACUUGCCGGGGCCUGAUAAAAAUGAAUCGAGCUCGGAGGGCAAACAAAUUUCCGAUCAAUCAGACAGAUUUGGAACCAGUUCUCAGCUGGAAGUGGUUCUCUAUUCCCGUCCCUGUUUUCUGUGACUGUUCUCUGCCUUCAA